GAUGAACGCUGGCGGCGUGCCUACUACAUGCAAGUCGAGCGAACGGACGAGAAGCUUGCUUCUCUGAUGUUAGCGGCGGACGGGUGAGUAACACGUGGAUAACCUACCUAUAAGACUGGGAUAACUUCGGGAAACCGGAGCUAAUACCGGAUGAUAUUUUGAACCGCAUGGUUCAAAAGUGAAAGACGGUCUUGCUGUCACUUAUAGAUGGAUCCGCGCUGCAUUAGCUAGUUGGUAAGGUAACGGCUUACCAAGGCAACGAUGCAUAGCCGACCUGAGAGGGUGAUCGGCCACACUGGAACUGAGACACGGUCCAGACUCCUACGGGAGGCAGCAGUAGGGAAUCUUCCGCAAUGGGCGAAAGCCUGACGGAGCAACGCCGCGUGAGUGAUGAAGGUCUUCGGAUCGUAAAACUCUGUUAUUAGGGAAGAACAUAUGUGUAAGUAACUGUGCACAUCUUGACGGUACCUAAUCAGAAAGCCACGGCUAACUACGUG
rnacentral:rRNA from 1 species